rnacentral:lncRNA from 1 species
GUUCUUUUCGAGGUCGGCCGCGUGGCUGGAAGACAUGGCCACUCCAGUCGGUGUUGAGCACGGCGAGCAGUCUCAGGCCUUUAGUGAUGAUGAUUAAAGGUGGUGGCUGUGGCCUUGAAAACAGUCAUGUGAAAACUCAUCACCUUAAGGUGUUAAGUGUAAGGAUCUUCAUGAUGAAAUUUCUGUAAAUGGUGCAGUCAGCCUCAGUUUCCAAAGCCGGAAAAGGAUCCUCUAGUAGCCACGGUGUGGCAGCUGCUCUGAACCAGGACCUGGACCCGGACCCAAAGUGCCAUGUCUUUAAUGUGAGUUAGCUCCCAGCGAUGCCAGAUGGGAUCAGCACAGCCCUGCCUCUGCUGCUAAUUGUUCCUCUAAAGUAAUCGCCAUGCGUUCUUUGGGCUUCAUCUUUAAAGGAAUGAAGCAACUGAGAUUAUUCUGGAAAACCUUUUGGCAGUUAGUGAAAUUAGAGUACAACUAAGAACAUUUUCAGACCUCCACUGUGGAUGACCUGGGUAUAAUCUCACAAAUCGAUGGGACUGCAAGGAUUGUAAACUGAAAUGAACAUGAUUAUACUCUGUUGGAAGAGCCUAAGAGGAAACUGAUGCCAUGAGUUUCAGAGAGUAAUGCUUAACCCCAGUUACACAGGAUGCCGUCUUGUGUUUCCUCUUGUUUAGUUACCCACUACAGUGAUUUUGUGAUCUGCUAAUGGGUUGCCACCCACAACCAUUGCUUUAGCACUUUUACUUCAAAUCAAUGAAGGAUUGAUAAAAGUUCUCCUGGUGUCUCCGCAGAGUGCCUUCCAGGAACAGAUCUUUGCAUAGAAUAUCAGUGGUUUCCUUUUUUGUUUCAAAUAGUGGUCAGAAAAUACCCAGUGUUGACUCACCAAGGCAAUCAGCUUCCUUUUUCCCUUUUUUUGUUUUUUUUUUAACAUUUUAUAUUUUUGCUUUAUUUUAUUUUAUUUUAUUUUAUUUUAUUUUAUUUUAUUUUAUUUUUUGAGACGGAGUUCCACUCUGUCGCCAGGCUGGAGUGAAGUGGUACAAUCUUGGCUCACUGCAACCUCCACCUCCCGGGUUCAAGCAAUUCUCCUGGCUCAGCCUCCUGAGUGCUGGGACUACAGGCGCGUACCUUCUUUAGUAGAGACUGGGUUUCACCAUGUUGGCCAGGAUGGUCUCUAUCUCCUGACCUUGUGAUCUGCCUGCCUCAGCUUCCCAAAGUGCUGAGAUGACAGGUGUGAGCCAUCAGACCCAGCAUUUUUUUUUUUAAUUUAAAUUUAAAUUUUUUUUCAUUUUUUUGAGAGGUUUUUUUUGUUUUGUUUUGUUGUUGUUGUUGUUGUUGUUUUUGAGACAGUCUUGCUCUGUCACCCAGGCUGGGAGUGCAGUGGCAUGAUCUCUGCAACCUCUACCUCCCAGGUUCAAGCAAUUCUUGUGCCUCAGCCUCCCAAGUAACUGGGACUACAGGUGCACGCUACCACACCUGGCUGAUUUUUUUUGUUUUAGUAGAGACAGGGUUUCAACCAUGUUGCCCAGGUUGGUCUCAAACUCCUGAGCUCAGGCAAUCCACCCGCCUUGGCCUCCCAAAGUGCUAGGAUUACAGGUGUGAGCCACCACACCCAGCUAUUUUUUCUUUCGUUUUUUAAUUUUAAAGUUGGGGGGGGGUCUCAAUUUGUUACCCUGGCUGGUCUCGAACUCCCGGACUUAAGCGAUCCUCUGGCUCCAAGCCCACUACCAGUCUCAGGUUUCUUUACUAAAAGAUCACUACCUUUUUUUCUCUUAUCUGCUGCCAUGUGAGAUGUGGCUUUCACCUUCCGCCAUGAUUGUGAGGCCUUCCCAGCCA